GACGAACGCUGGCGGCGGGCUUAACACAUGCAAGUCGAACGGAAAGGCCCUGCUUUGGUGGGGUGCUCGAAUGGCGAACGGGUGAGUAACACGUUAGUAACCUGCCCUUGACUUUGGGAUAACUUCAGGAAACUGGGGCUAAUACCGGAUAGGAGCUCCUGCUGCAGGGUGGGGGUUGGAAAGUUUCGGCGGUUGGGGAUGGACUCGCGGCUUAUCAGCUUGUUGGUGGGGUAGUGGCUUACCAAGGCUUUGACGGGUAGCCGGCCUGAGAGGGUGACCGGCCACAUUGGGACUGAGAUACGGCCCAGACUACUCCGGGAGGCAGCAGUGGGGAAUAUUGCACAAUGGGCGGAAGCAUGAUGCAGCAACGCCGCGUGCGGGAUGACGGCCUUCGGGUUGUAAACCGCAUUCGCCUGUGACGAAGCGUGAGUGACGGUACUGGGUAAAGAAGCACCGGCUAACUCCGUG
rnacentral:rRNA from 1 species